rnacentral:tRNA from 1 species
GAAUGAUUAGCUUAAUGGUAGAGCAUCUUCCUUACAAAAAGUAGGUUAUUAGUUCAAAUCUAUUCUCAUUCA